CUCCCUCUCUCCCUCCCUUCCUACUAAAAACCAAUAAGGCUAGGGAGCCUAUCUGCAUAGUUCUGUGAAUGUCUCGGAACAAAGCAAUACACAGAAGCUAAUGCUCUCAUCCUGUGUAAGAUACAAAUCUUGUCACAUCAUGGACCAUCGUGGAGCAUGAAGCUAUUUCUAAUGUGAUGGGGGAAAUGUUUCUAGCAGAAGAGCAAGACAUGGUCCUGGUGCAUGAAAGGAGCCUAAGAAAGAAGAGUGAAAGCUGCACGUGUUCUACCUCCAGAAAGCCAUAAAAGAGAAAAGAAUGUUGUACCAAACUAAGCAAAUGAAGCAUGAAAUGAAAAGCCGGUUGAGCUGGGAGGUAUAAAGAAUGGAAAGGAAGCAGCUACCACCCCUGGUAACCCCAUCAAUCCGGAGAAGCUUCGCAGAGUUACACUGUGCUCUGUCGGGAAGGAAAUGAAUUUUCCUCAUUGUACACAUUCCGAGAAAAAUGAGGCUAAGACUAUUUCAAAGGAUGUUCUACCUAAUUCGAAUGGGCUUUAAGUGCCAUCUUCACAAUAGCGCCAGAGUCUGGUGUCAGCAAACUGAACAAAUAGAGCUACAGGGAGCGAAUGGGGCUGGGUGCCUCUCCAAAACAUAUGCAGAUGAACUUGAGAUUUCAGAGGACGGUUAAUCCUACACAGCAGUCAAGUGCCUUCCCAGGGGUAUGUCUCAGAUCUCAGGGCUCCCUUCCAAACACUGGCUGCCACGUCAAACCAAAGGGGACGAGCAAUCAGACUCACCUCAAACGCCAGUUAAGAAAGCCGGCCUUACUUAAGCAAUCAAGGGCAAGUGAUCAGCCAACUCUGCUUUCUUUCCUUUCUCUUGGAUCAUUUAUAGACCUUGUGGCCGUGGCCACCACAUUGAGAAGCCCUUGGUCUCUACUUGGACUCACUAUAGCAGAGCAUCCUGGCAGGCAUCCACUGUGCCAUAUGCUUUCGGGAAGUCUGGAUGCUGAAUGUGGUGGCUGUGGGGAAUUGAGCCUUAUUGCUUCAUAAGAUUCCUGGUGGUAGAACUAUUCUGAACAAGAACACGUCCGUCCCCAUAGGUGUGCUCCAAGAAUCACAGAAUAAGAAGGGACUUCGGAGAGAGCCUCACACAGUUGGGCAAUGGGAGCCCAGAGAGGCAAGGAAGGCUCCUUGCCCAAAGUCUUGUACAUCUGAAUCUGCAACUCCUGACUAUUUUUGAGUCUUAUGCUCCAGGCUAAAACUUGUGACUUUAAGUGUGAUGUUCUCGGUGAUGAUUAAUCUAGGAUGUUUCUGUUGUUUUCUUACCGUCAAAGAAUUAACAUCAAAAGGAAAGGAAGGAAGAAAUGUAGAAGUGAAGGCAAGAAGGAAGGAAGGAGGAAAGGAAGGAAGGAAAAUAUAGGCUUUGGGUAAAAAUAAGUUUCUACUCAACACUGACAAAGGUACAGGUUUUGGACAUUGGUUUCCUAAUCUGUAAAUGAGGAAUAGUCAUCACAUCGCUGUCCUGGCUGGUUUUGUGUGUCAACUUGACACAAGCUGGAGUUAUCACAGAGAAAGGAAAGAAAAUGCCUCCAUGAGAUCUAGCUGUAAAUGGAUUAGUGAUCAAGAGUGGGAGGGCCCAGUGUGGGUGGUGCCAUCCCUGGACUGGUGGUCCUGGGUUCUACAAGAAAACAAGCUGAGCAAGCCAGGGGAAGCAAGCCAGGGGAACAUCCCUCCACGGCUCUGCAUCAGCUCCUGCUUCCUGCCCUGUGUGAGUUCCAGUCCUGACUUCCUUUGGUGACGAACAGCAAUGUGAUAGUAUAAGCUGAAUAAACCCUUUCCUCCCCAAC
rnacentral:lncRNA from 1 species